GGAGGGUUGCCCGAGUGGCCAAUGGGAGCGGGCUGUAAACCCGCCGGCUUAUGCCUGCGUUGGUUCGAAUCCAACACCCUCCA
rnacentral:tRNA from 2 species